rnacentral:rRNA from 1 species
CCUACGGGUGGCAGCAGUGAGGAAUAUUGGUCAAUGGACGAGAGUCUGAACCAGCCAAGUAGCGUGAAGGAUGACUGCCCUAUGGGUUGUAAACUUCUUUUAUAAAGGAAUAAAACGAGGCACGUGUGCCUUUUUGCAUGUACUUUAUGAAUAAGGAUCGGCUAACUCCGUGCCAGCAGCCGCGGUAAUACGGAGGAUCCGAGCGUUAUCCGGAUUUAUUGGGGGUAAAGGGAGCGUAGAUGGGUUAUCAAGUCAGUUGUGAAAGUUUGCGGCUCAACCGUAAAAUUGCAAUUGAUACUGGCAGUCUUGAGUACAGUAGAGGUAGGCGGAAUGCGUGGUGUAGGGGUAAAAUGCGUAGAUAUCAAGAGGAACCCUGAUUGCGAAGGCAGCUUACUAAACUGUGACUGACAUUGAUGCGCGAAAGUGUGGGUAGCAAACAGGAUUAGAUACCCUGGUAGUC